rnacentral:rRNA from 1 species
GUGUCAGCAGCCGCGGUAAGACGAACCGUGCGAACGUUGUUCGGAUUCACUGGGCUUAAAGGGCGCGUAGGCGGGUGCUCAAGUCCGGGGUGAAAUCCUCCAGCUCAACUGGAGAAUAGCCUUGGAUACUGGGCACCUCGAGGGGGGUAGGGGCGGGCGGAACUUCCGGUGGAGCGGUGAAAUGCGUAGAUAUCGGAAGGAACGCCGGUGGCGAAAGCGGCCCGCUGGACCCCCCCUGACGCUGAGGCGCGAAAGCCAGGGGAGCAAACGGGAUUAGAAACCCUUGUAGUCC